AUGCCAGUCUCGCUGGACGGGCAGAAGGAGCCCAAACCUGCCCUGACUCCCACAGCCGCCAGUGAUGAUGAUGAAGACGAUGACUAUGAUGGUGACGAGGGGGAUGAGUACGGCAAUGAGGAUCCCCUACCUGAUCUGGAAAAAGAUGACAUGCAUGCUCGCAGGUCUGGAGUGCCGCCGAGGACAACAGGGAGUGCAGGACACAGUUUUAAAAUGUUCCUCCCUGUUCCUGGAUCAGUAAAAUAUAAAGCCACUCCCUCCUCUGGGCUGUGCCAGACGUACCCCAAACCCAGAGAGCAGGAGAAAGCACUUGCCAAGGACAGUUCAAAUGCUGUGGCCUUGCCCAAAGACGUCAUGCACACAGCCAGCAUGUGCUCCCAGGUGACAGACAGGGAGGAGGUGGGCUCUGUGGAGUAUGUUGAGCCUCUCAAAGAAGCUCAUACAUCCGAUGACCCAAAAUAUGACUUUGACCCUCCAACUCAAGAGAGGGGCACGUUCCCUCCUAGGAGACCCUCCUGGCUGGAGGAUGACCUCCCACCAAUAUUCUGCCCCAAAGCAGUGACUGAUGAGCCAGAGUAAGUCUCCUGUCUCGCUUGCUCUCUCUCUUGCUAUCUUUCUUUCUUUCAUGGCCUCCAGCUUUCAUUUCUUUCACGACCUUUGGCUUGUACUGGAUUGAUCUGCUGCAUGUUUUGCAAUCACUUUGUACACACAUCUUCUCUUUCCCAUUACUUGGGCUGACUGUACAGGAAUGCAUGUCAAAGACUAAAACCCUCAUUGCUGGCAUCUGCUGUGGUGGAUUUCUCAGUUUGCUCUGUGUGUGUGUUUGUGUGUGUGUGUGUGUGUGUGUGUGUGCAUGAUUGAUCUAAGCCUCGGCACCAGUAAAGCCAGCAAUAGUGGUGGAACAGCCACAGACCACAAAAUGAGAAAAUGUAGAGUAAAUAAAUAGAGUAUCUCUAACAGUGACCCAGGCUUGAGAAAAAUUUGGUGUUCUUUGCUGGACAGACCUAUCCUGCUUUGUAUUCCGAUGAGUUGGGCUACCAAAAGUGCCCUCCUAGGUGGAAUGGCCACUGUUUAUACCUCAUAUCUCCCUCUGUUAUUCUUCACCCUUCCCAGAUUUACAUUCCUGAGCUUCUAGCCGGUUGGGCUUGGGCUGUUGCCUGCUCACCGCAAGUGUUCUACUGGCUUGUAUGACCGGGUCAGUGUUGGUUUUGGACCCAACGGUACCUUGAAGUCAUUUGGACCAUAGAGAAGUUGAUACAUUAUAAUCUAAGAAGAGCAAUCUUGCACCGAGAUCAGUAUUAUUUUAAUCUUUCAUAACCUGUGAGAGGUUCUUUUAAAUAGUCACAGGGUCGCCUAUGGGGAAUCAACGUUCCUUGAAAUACCCUUGAGAUCCGCUCAGGAAGAGUACAUUUUUGCUCUGCUUUCUUUGUGGAUCUUCAGUGUUUGACACAUUUUUUUGUGAGUGUUUAAUUCCCACUGCCACAGCAUGCAAUAAUGCUUCACUUAUUAAACCCAUCCCUUAUUCUGGCUUUUGUUUUGGAGAGUUGUUCUUUUUUAUGAAAUGUUCUUCAUGUGCCAAAUUCUAACAUCACUUCACUUGCAGCAUACAUCUAAUAACACUGUUGGACAGGAAAUCCAGCAAGAUAACUUUGGCUUUGGCCAUACCUGAACACACG
ensembl:lncRNA